rnacentral:rRNA from 1 species
AGUGAACGCUGGCGGUAGGCCUAACACAUGCAAGUCGAACGGCAGCACAGUAAGAGCUUGCUCUUACGGGUGGCGAGUGGCGGACGGGUGAGGAAUACAUCGGAAUCUACUUUUUCGUGGGGGAUAACGUAGGGAAACUUACGCUAAUACCGCAUACGACCUACGGGUGAAAGCAGGGGAUCUUCGGACCUUGCGCGAUUGAAUGAGCCGAUGUCGGAUUAGCUAGUUGGCGGGGUAAAGGCCCACCAAGGCGACGAUCCGUAGCUGGUCUGAGAGGAUGAUCCGCCACACUGGAACUGAGACACGGUCCAGACUCCUACGGGGGGCAGCAGUGGGGAAUAUUGGACAAGGGGCGCAAGCCUGAUCCAGCCAUACCGCGUGGGUGAAGAAGGCCUUCGGGUUGUAAAGCCCUUUUGUUGGGAAAGAAAAGCAGCAGGUUAAUACCCCGCUGUUCUGACGGUACCCAAAGAAUAAGCACCGGCUAACUUCGUG